rnacentral:snRNA from 1 species
GUGCUCAUUUCUGCAACACAUAUACUAAAAUUGGAACAAUAUACAGAAGAUUAGCAUGACCCCUGGGCAAGGAUGACAUGCAAAUUCAUGAAGUGUUCCAUAUUAAA